rnacentral:rRNA from 1 species
GUAAGAUAAAAAUCACAUGGAAUGGAGUUAAACAGUACGUGCAAUUGAUGUUGGGGAAGCGCUUGCAACCAGACUUGGGCGUCGCUGAUCACUUCAAAGUGGUCUUUGGUGCGGUCGGCGAGGCACAGGCCAGCAUAUCAUGGGGUGGUGGGAGAAAGGUAGAAGGAAGGAAGCUAUCUUCGGGGAGUAUUAUAGCAUCCGGCGCAAUACAGCCAGCCCCGACCGAGGUCCGCGCUUCGGCUAGGAUGUUGGCUUAAAUUUAACCGGC